rnacentral:rRNA from 1 species
UACGUAGGGGGCUAGCGUUGUCCGGAAUCAUUGGGCGUAAAGCGCGCGUAGGCGGCCCGGUAAGUCCGCUGUGAAAGUCCAGGGCUCAACCCUGGAAAGCCGGUGGAUACUGCCGGGCUAGAGUCCGGAAGAGGCGAGUGGAAUCCUGGUGUAGCGGUGGAAUGCGCAGAUAUCAGGAGGAACACCAAUGGCGAAGGCAGCUCGCUGGGACGGUACUGACGCUGGAGGCGCGAAAGCGUGGGGAGCGAACAGGAUUAGACUACCC